rnacentral:miRNA from 2 species
UUCAUUCGGCUGUCCAGAUG